rnacentral:misc_RNA from 1 species
UUUAAUUAAUUUUUAAUAAGAUAUUGAUUGAACUAGUGUCUUACUUAUAGAACCAAUAACCCAUCGACUGGGUACCUCGGCCGGGUCAAACUCCGGGCUGGGUCUAAUUACACUGGUUUGGAUUUGAGUGUCAUUCAUGGUUUGUAUUGGUAAAUUGAAACAUGGAUGAAAAAAUCGAUUAAACCAAGUAAACUUUUCGGUUUGGUGUUAUUUGAUUUUAGAUAAUGUUCAUUUUGGUGGUAAGUUUGAGAAUUUCAGUUGAUUCAGUUUGGCCUAAAAAUUUUGAGAUGACUGACCAAUUGUAGAUAAUUUCAGCUUGGUGUUCUUUGACUGCAGAUAAUGUUCAGUUUGGUAAGUUAAAUGAUAAAUUUGAGAAUCUUUGGUUUGGUCUGAAAAUGUUGGGAUAACUGACCGAUUGCACAUCACUAAGCACUAGGCUAUCUUCCUGAACAACCUGGUUAUUAUCUAUUUCUCAACCUGGUUGGUUUCUUAAAUUUUUCUCUGAGAGUUAUUUUAUGCAAGCAAAAUGAACUUGCAAUUCUAACCAGUUUGUUGCUAAGCUCCAUCACUUUUGGAUCCCAAUAAAAUCAAAUCCAAAAUACAUGACUUGUUUCAAAAUGCAGUUAUAGGUUAGUUUUUGUGAAUUGAACAUUUGAGUUUGGGAGAGAGAGAGAGAGAG